GCUCUGCUAGCUUAAAGGUAAAGCGUUCCUCUCCUAUUAAAAACACGAGAACCAAGGAAAGACUCCGGGUUCGAGUCCCGGGUAGAGUU
rfam:Candida albicans SC5314 chromosome 3 sequence.